CUUCAAGACACCUGUAAAUCACAACAAAAAAUAACUUGUUUCUUCCAUCUUGCUUUAGGCCAGUUUUGGGCUGGAUGCCUUAUCCAAGGCCCCUUUCUGUUCCUGUAAAUAGAGCUGCACGGGUAAAAGAGUCACACUGGAUUGUCCUUACCAGCCACUUGCAUUUGCUGUUAAUUCUCUGGAAGAAAUGCUCCCUCCUGCCUCACCCAGGCUAGGAUCCCUGCCUAGAAAAAUGGCUUUCUCCUGAGCAUUUGUUAUAUGCAGCUGUGUGAAACUCUCAGCCUGUUCAAUUAAAGAGCCCGUUUUCCCAUUAACUGUCUCCUUAGACAAAUGUGAAGUGUAUUUAAUGUUCACUCAGGAUGAAGCCAACAUGUUUCUCCUGCUGUUUUACACUUUCUUCUUAGUAGGGAUUUGUCGUCUCUGACUGUUCAAAUACCUUGAAGUUCCCCAGCAUUUACCAUCAGGAAAAGGUAACAAGAGUGGUGACAAAGAGUGAGUGCCAGAUGAGCCUGGGAAAAUGGAUGGUGUUAAUAGAUGUAACUGAGGCCCCUCUGCACCCUGCCUAACGCGGAGCAGCCACCCCAUCCAUCACGCUCACUCCGGUGGAGUAGCAGCACACCAUCCAAGCCUUAGCAGACCUUUUCUCCACUCCUGCUCUCAGAAAAAGUGCUGGAUCAGAUCCCUCACCUCUCCUGAUGGUCUGAAGAGAGGCACUUUAAAAAGGAGAGAAUCAGCAACAGAGCCUCUACCUCAGCUCAGCGUUUUUUAUUAACAUGCCUGGAGAAUCAGCUUCUUCCUGUCAUAGCCUAUCUCAGCUUUCCACACCUUGUAGCUCUGCUAUCAAGAGAGAGUUUCCUGGAAAAGGCUAGGAGUGAAAUGAGAAAUUCCCUCCCUGAAGCACAUACGGACAUCCUGCUGCUGCUCUGCAACCUGCCAAGGAAAAGAAGAGAAAACUACAGGCCAGGCAUUGAGAAAUUGCUGUCAGAUGCCUGUUGCUCCAUAAUUAUUUGCUGCAAGA